rnacentral:lncRNA from 1 species
GUUACAGUGGUAUCAGAGUCGAUUGUUUGGUUGGGAAUGCUUCCGCUAAAGGGGGAGUGAGUUAGAUAAAAAAAAAGAAAUGAGAGGGAGAGUCAAAUAUCGAGAGAGAAAAAAAGGAAAAAAGGGGGAGUUUAGAGAAAAAAAGGAGAACAAAAAAAAGGAAAGUCCAAUACCCAGAGAGCAUGAAGAGUCUAAGUGUCCGAAAAAGAGAAUAAAAAGGAAAGAAGAAAGAAAAGAGAAAAAGAGAGUAAGAGAGUAAGAGAGGAUUAAUCUUGCAAGAAGUGUUUUCCCAACACAUCUUGUUUCAAACUUUGUUCAACUACAAUACAUAAAAAUAAACAUUGCAUCAAUUAUUCACCCAUAAAUCGUUAUAAUGUAGACAAUGAAAUGACCAAGUAUGUCUCAAUCUGGAUAGCAAUCCCAAAACCACCCCUAAAAAAAUGAAACUUCUUUUAUUUAACCCUAACCAUAACAAAAAUAAAUGAAUGAGUUAUAUGUAUCUUACUUACAAAAAGGUCAAAUGGACUUCAUUAAAGGAAGACGACACAAACACUAUCUAAUCAAUGAAACGAACCACAUACAAACAGUGGACGAAGAUUAACAACAAUGAAUUCCGACG